ACAGCGGUUUCAAUGAUUCAUUUGAUUCGAACCCUCAGAAGAUCCCGUUCAUCAGAUCAAAUCUGUGCGUUCUCUGAGAAACGCCAAGCGUAAUUACAAGACUUGUGUCUCAGAAGGUGCCUUCAAAGCCUGAGUCUGAAUGGCCAGAAUGUGCAGAAUGUGUGCACAGGCGACAACUGCAGUCGUCCAUCAGCUGCGUGCUGACAGACUGUGGACGUGCCCUCUCCUUGCUGUAAUUACAGGAAGCCUAGGAGGAGCUGCUCCAGGCACAUCCUGGCAUACAGCUCACCUGGAUGAUUUUUUCCUCUCUCAAUUUGUUCAAGGGGCUGAGCUCAAAGGGCACCGCAGGCUAAUUCAGCAGGGCAGCUGACCAAGAUGGCCGCCCUGCCCUCUGAAUCACUCUGACUAUUACUCCAGUGACAAAAGAGGACUUGAGGAAAACACCAAGGAGAAAUAAAAUACCUCGCCCAUCCCUCUUCUAGAGAAGUGCCAGAUCUUUAUUUCACUCUUUUCUCUCUGCUUUUUCUGACUCAGUGCCCACAAAGUGAGGGGAGAGCACAC